UACGGAGGGUGCAAGCGUUGUCCGGAAUCACUGGGCGUAAAGGGCGCGUAGGCGGCCCGGUAAGGAGGGGGUGAAAUCCUGCGGCUUAACCGCAGGGCUGCCUUCUAAACUGUCGGGCUCGAGCACGGUAGAGGCAGAUGGAAUUCCCGGUGUAGCGGUGGAAUGCGUAGAGAUCGGGAAGAACAUCAGUGGCGAAGGCGGUCUGCUGGGCCGUUGCUGACGCUGAGGCGCGACAGCGUGGGGAGCAAACAGG
rnacentral:rRNA from 1 species